UAUGCAGACUACAAACUAAAUAUUUUAAAUGUAAGUAAUCAUAUUAAACAUAAUUAAAAACCAAUAAGUCGUGUAACAUAUCAUAAUUUUUGUUUAGUGCAACAAUGUUUCCGAACCCGUGGGUUACUCCAGUUCCACCUCCUGUGGUGACCAAAUCGGUUGUUUACAAAAACAAUACUCCAACUACCUAUCCAUAUUAUGUUACGCCAAAUGCCUUACAAAAUAUUGUUGUAAGUUUAUAUAGCAUUAAAUUAAGAAAUAAAUACUAUCAUCCGUAUAUUUGUUUAUGCAAUAUAUUUCUGUUAUCAUAUAUUGAAAAUAAAAGCAUUGUAUAUUAGAUUAUUACUAAUAUUUAUAAUUUGAAUUAAUUACAUGAUGUAGUUAAUUUAAAUAUGUUUAAUACACAUUUAAAUCAAUAAUUAAAUUACUAUCCAAGAAAGUUGUUUACUUGAGUAGAUAUGGAGAUGUUUUAAUAGGACCAUACAGCAUAUUUUAUAGACAAAUAUUUUAUUACUUCCCUAUAUUUUUCAGAUGAACCCACAAAAUAGUUUAUCAUUGAAUGCAACAUCAGUCGUAAGUAAUUUCUGUAAGAUAAACAUUAGUAUAAGUUACAUUUUUAGACAAAUGAAAAAUCUUUAUACAAAAUUGUUUUUUCUGAAAGAAAAAGACACUUUGUAUACAAUUAUUGUUAACUCUAAUAGUCUAAUAGUCUAGUACAAAAAAAUGUGAAAAACUGCUUACAUAAUUAAAUCCAUGUUAAACGUUUUAAUUUGGAUAUUUUUGAAUUUUAAAGUAUUCAUGACUUAUUCAAAUUCAUUAAAAAAAUUAAUUUAACUAAAUAAUUAUUCAUCUAUAUUCUGUUUAGUUAGUAAGAAAAAACAAUUUAAGUUAUGGAAGCAGAAUAGGAACAGAGAUGAUUAGGUAGAGUACAAAAGACUACAAGAAAGUUAAGAAGGUGGCAAGCAAACCGAAGUUAAAAAAUACUAGGAACAAAGAAAGGUGAAAAAAAAGUUUAUCGAUUAAUCGAGAUUAGAAAAAAACUGUCCAAGGAUUUCCAUAAUGUAUGAGAAAGACAAAAAAAAAAAUAAAUAGAUGUGAUUGAGAAUGAUGUAUGGGGGAUCUUGUCUAAUGGAAGUUUAAGAUAGCGGUGGCUGACCCUAAUUAGUUAGGGUGAAGGUGAAGCAGAAAAAAAAAAUUAUUCAGAAUAAGAUUUAACUGCUUUUGUAAAUGUAAACUCAGCUGUUGAACAAGUCUAGACUCUCUAAUUGCAUUCUGUUGUCUUUGCUGUUGACUUUGUACUUACAAGGAGCAAGGAUGGAAGGGGAUUAGUUUGGAAGUAAAGUUUUUUUUUAUCUAAGCCGUUCAGUAUUAACCUGAAUAGAGUAAAUUAAUAUUGAAUUAUCUUUUAACUUGAAUAAUUAAGACUUAAACUUGUUUGUUAGAAUUAUUAUCUAUUUUUAAUACCUAAUUGAAGUUAAUUUUCAAUAAAAAAAAAAAUGUAAUUCAAAUAUAAAUAUUUGUACAAUAUUUUUAAUCCUCUUCCUUAUGAAUAAUAUAAAAAAAAAAAAAAACAUAAUUUGAUUAUCCUCGGAGAUAUUCAAAGGGAGUGUAUCUUAGGACAACCUGUACACAGAUAAAUUGUUAUAUAUUUUUAUGGCAGUUUUUUUAUGCUUAUAUUUUAAAUAAUCUAAACACGCUAAAAUGAAAAAUCCACAUUAAAAGUGUAGUAUUUAAUGUGUAACAUUUCAAAAAUAUUAUUGUUUAGUUAAAAGUUCAAUACUUACCAAUAUAUUUAAUUAAUAAUUUCCUUAUUUAUUAUAAAGUAACUAUCUAUUUUAGAUGAACCAGUCACUUCAACCAAAUGCUAUCGAUCCAGCUGUAAGUUUAACAGAAUAUAAUAUUUUAUAAUAAUAGGUAUAGUGUAUCAAUUUUAAAAAAUGUAUUUAUUUAUUUUAGUUGGUUCAAAAAUGGCAAGAAUGGAAGCAAUGGGAAGCAUGGCAACAACAAUUUCAACAAUGGCAACAACAGGUUUAUUUAAAUUAUAUGUCUAAAAAAUAUGAAAUAUUGAAUUGUUUUCAACAUUGAUCACUUGUACUACUAAUAAUUCAUAAGCAUCGUUUAAAAAAAUAUGAAUUAAAAUUAACUUUUAAUUUAAUUAUUAGAUAAAUAAAUUAGUUAUUUCAAAAAAAUUAUCAUUAUCUAGAAACGGGCAUGCUCAAGAAGUGAUCUUUCCCAGACUUGUUAAAUUAAAGUAAAUUAUUUUUCUGAAAAUUUUCUAGAAUAUUUUUAUAAGCAUUUGAAGUUAAGUUGAGUUGUGUGAAAAGGGAACGUAUAAUUUUCUGAUUACAUUACAAAUUGUUUCAAUUAAUACAUUUUAAUUGUAUUUAUACAUUUUAUUAGACUGGGCAAAUUACUGCUACACCUAUACAACCGGCACCUCCAAUGCCUCCUAGUCAACCAAUGCAACCAAUACAAACUCCUAUAAUGCCAUAUCAAAACCAGCAAUAUCAACCAAUCAACCAAUACAAUCAAUCCAGACCACCUUUGCCACUAACUAAUGAUCUGUCACAAGUAAUAAUAUUUAAAAAAAAAAAAAAAUUAUUAUAAUUAGCAGUUAAAUUAAGCAAGUUAAGAAUUUAAUAAAUAUAUAAAACAACUUAAAUAAGAAAAUUCAAUAGUCAAACUUAAAAUAGUUGAAAACAGAUAAUACAUUAUAAUAUUUCCUUGAUCUAAUGAUGACCAUAGCCUAUAGUAAAUUUAAGUACAGUUUAGGACUAUAGCAUACAUGAAUUUCAAUUUUUCACAAUGUAAGUAGGUACCAAUUUUAGAUUCUAAGCAGAGCAAAGAAGCUUAUGUUUUUUUUCAAAAAUAUAUAUAUUUUUUUUCUGUGGACAACUUUUCUACCAGUAAUUUUGUUCCAACUUUUAUUAAGGUAGCAAUUUUUCUAAGAGGAAAUUUCACUAGGGAUAUACUUUCAAAGGUUGUUUUUUCGAUUUUCCCUGGAGUUUUCUCAGCAAAUGUGAAAAGCUAUGAAAACCAGAGAAAUCAGUACAACAUUGAAAAAAUAUUAUUAAAGAAAAUAUAUAGAGCCUAUUCUAUUAUUUUAUUAUAAUAUAGCAUGUAUAUUGUUGACAAAGCAUCACUAUCAACUGAACUCCGCUUAUAAUCGCUUUUUCGUAAGCAAUGGUUUAACAUUGUUUAUAGGUAUACAUUAUAUUACUUAUAACCGUGGCUGCACCCUUCCUCAUUAUCCUUGGAUGUCUUUUUCAUAUUUAAUUGUAUACGUUAUAGCUAAAACGAAAAAAAAAUGUAGGCAUUAUAAUAUUGAAUAUUUGAAGUAUGGUUUCAUUCAAUAUCAAUCGCCUACAAAUAUUACAUUAGUUAUGUGCCUUAUUUGCCAAAAGUUUUUAUAAAUGCAGCUAUGAAACCGUUAAGACUGCAAAGUUCAUGCUAUUAAAAAAAAUAUGGAUAUUUGGUUUUCUCCUAGCAAAAAACCAGAUACAUUCAUCUCAUUAGGACACCCUUUUUUUUUACUUGUACAAUAUACAUUAUACAAUAUUAUAAUAAAACAUACUUAUAUUUUAUCAACAAUAAAUACAUUUUUUUCAUUUAUGUCGCUGAAAUCCUAUGCCAGACACCCUUUGAUGUUGAAUUUCAGAAAUCUGGCUUAGAGGUGCACAGGGACCCAUUUAUUUGGUUCUAUAUGUACAUUUUUAGACCUCUAGAUUCAAUUGUUUCAGCUGUAGAUUAUGCACAAAUAAAUAGACAGCCACUUCAUUUUAUUAAUAUAUAAGUUGAUUUUUUUUGUCAUAAACCAGCAAUUAUCUCUGAGUAUUUUAAGUAAAUCAACUUUCUGUUUUCUGUUUUUUCCUAAUCACUAUAGAAUCGUUCAAGUUUUGUUUUAAAACUGUUUUUUAUUUUUACCCCUACUCCAUAUACCUUAAAUACGUACACACUUUUUGAUUUUCAAAUAGGAACCCUCCCUCUUGAACACAGAUUUGAAUAGAGAAUAUUUUUCUAGAAAUAUUGAUAUACAUAACACUAAUAUCAGAUUUAUUGUUAUAACUCAUAAAGGUAAAUCUGAUAUAAGAAUUAUGUACAUCAACAUUUCUAGAAAAAUAUUCUCUAUUCAAAUCUGUGUUUAAAAGAGAGGUUUUUAUUUGAAAAUCAAAAGUCUGCACUUAUUAGUAGGGUAUGAGUAGGGGUAAAGUCAUUCCAUAAUGAUUAGAAAAAACAAAAAUCAAGUUUACUUAAAAAAUCUUCCAUGGUUCAUGAUAAAAAAAUCACUAUAGAAUAUACAUAUAUUUCAAAGCAAUAGUACAUAAUUAAUAAAUUAUUACACAAGUACUUAUAAUAUUAUUGUUCACAAAAUAAAUAAUAUACAUUUUUAUCAUUAGACUACCAUAAAAAAUGAAGUUGGUAUGAAACGAGGAUUAGAACCUGAAUUCGAGAAUAAUGAAAAAAAAUUGAAAACCGAUACAGCUACUAAAAAAAAUGAAAUUGAAUUAACUGAUGAAACUGAAGCUUUAUUCGAAGAACAGUUUAUAUCAUGGGAAGAACAAUUUGUUAAAUGGAAAGAACAAAAUAAAAAUCAUCCAGAUAAAGUAUAUUUUUCCAAUUUUAUAAUUUGUAUAAAUUUGUUUAUCAAUACACAUACUAAUUAAUAAUAAUAAUAUAAUCUGUUUUAUAUUAGGUUCAGUAUUUAGAGUAUGAGAAAAAAUGGUUAACCUGGCGUGAUCAUUUAAAACAAAAAUGUGAAAUGUUAAAAAAAAAGAGAGAGCUCAAAAUGGCUGAAAAAAAGGUGAAUUUUAAAUCAAUAAUCUAUUUUGAUUAUUCUCUGUUAAAACGUAAUUCCAAUUGACUAUAUGGUUAACAUUACAUUAAAUUAUUAAUUUCUUUUGAUUUUAUUAUUUAGAAGGAAACUAUUCAAAUUGAAGAAAAUAAACUACAAUCUCAGCAAAUAUUAGGUUAUAAUCCAUUGAUGCAAAAAACUCCUUCAUCAAUAAAUGAACUUACUCCAAUCACUUUUCAGCAUUUGGUAAUUAUUAAAAAAAAAUUACCAUAGUUUCUAAGUAUUUAUUAGUUUUAUGAUGGUGGUUUUUUUUCUGUUAACAAGUUUUUUACUAGAAAUCUUUCUUUAAUUGAAAAAUAACAAGAAAGCCUUUUUGUCUAGUUGGUACAUUAGAGAUGCCAUCUUUAGAUUCUGAGCAAAACACAAAAUGUAUUGGUUUUACAAUGGUGUUUUUUUUUCUUGUGAACAAUUUUUCUACUAAUUUUUUGCAUGGAUCUUCAUAUGUAAUACAUUUUCUUAAAACAAAUUUGGCUGAAGUGAUAUGUCAGAGCAGUCAUUUUUUGAUUUUCCCAGGGGUUUUCAUAAUAAAUGGAAAAAAUCAUGAAACAACAUAGAAAAAACAGAAAUAUUUACGAAAUGUUUUAUUAUAAAAUAGUAAAAAUUGCAGCUUUUCAAAAUAUGUAUAAUCAAAGUCAGGUCAGAAUUUUUUUUUUUGCUUAUACAUAUACAUUAAAUUCCUCUUUAUAUUCUACAUUCCCAACUUUUUACCUACAAUAGUAACCCAUCCAAUCCAUUGUGCGAAAUAUGUUCAUAUAUUUUUUUUCCUUUGGUUUUCUUAAUAAUUGGAUAUAUUUGAAAACAUCUACACAAUAGUGAAUAACAGAAACAUUUAUUUUUGAUUUUGUUGCCAUUCAGUUAAAAAUAAUUGUAAAUCUACUUAUUUGUAGCCAUUUGAAAUUUAUGUGGUUUUAUAUAAUUACAAAAUAUUAAAGCUUUUUAAAAAUAUUUAAAAGUUUGAAGCACAUUUUUCUUAUAGAACUUUAAAAAAUCAAAAAACUAGUCACAAAUUUGGUAAGGCAUAAAAUUAAAAUUUAUAUGAACAUAAUGAAAAUCAUUUUUAAACAUGUUUAACUAAACUUUAUUGAGAAUCGGUUUGUGUUAACAAUGAUUCAUCGUUCUGCACAUAUAUAAAUCAUAUAUAAAUUAAAUUACUCUGGCUGUUCGAUGAAGAUGUACCCCUUGAAUAUCUCCAGAGAUAAUAAAGAUAAUCAAAUUCUAUUUUUUUUUUUUUUUUUUUUUUUUUUUUAUAUAUAUACUCACAGAAAUGAGGAAUAAUUAUUUUAUAUUUGCAUUAAAUUUGUUUUGGUAAAAAACUUUAAAAAAAAAUAACUAUUUUAGGAAAAUGUUAAGUCAUUUGAUAGUCAUUCUGUAGUUUAUUUUUCUAAAAAAUUUUAAUGCAUUUAUAUUGCAUGAAUAGUUUUUAAGUAACAGCCAUUUUAAAUUCUACUAAUCCGUGUGAAAACCAAUGUUGUCUCUAGAGAAUGGACUUUAAUGCUCUAAAAAAUAAAAAAAAAGUUUUUAAAUUUAAUAAAUAAACCAAUAUUGAGCAGUUUUGUGUAUGCAUAAUAUUAUUAUAUAUAUAUAUUGGUUUGGUUAUUCCUUAGAUAACAUUGAUUUUCACACGGAUUAUUAGAAUUUAAAAUGGCUGUUACCUUAAAAACUAUUCAUCUAAUAUAAAUGUGUGAUACAUUAAUAAAAAUAUUCAGAAAAAUAAACUCUAAAUAAAAAAUUAUUUUAUAAAAAAAAUUCCAAAAACAAUAUUUCUAAUCCUCCCUGUGAGUAAUAUAUAUAUAAAAAAAAAAACAAAAUUUGAUUAUCUUAAUUAUAUCCAGAGAUAUUUAAGGGGUAUAUCUUCAUAGAGAAGAGCCAGUAUAUAUAUAAUACUAUAAUACUAUCCUACAAUAGAGGCAAUUCUAUCAUUAGUAUCGGCUCUUUACUUUAAACUUAAGUUAAGUAAAUUUUACACUUACUACAAAAUUAAUAUUUUAAAUUACAUAUCCAGCUCUUAUUGAAACUUAAAAUAUUUGAUAAGUUAAAUAAUUGAUGCAUAUACAAAUAAAGUAGGAUAAAAACUUUUGAAUCUAAUUUAUUUUUAACAGUAUUCAUUAAUUCAAUAUCUAAUACUCACGAUGGAUGGAUCACUGUUGUAAGUGAGAAGUUGGAAAGAUAAAGGAGAAAUUUAAUAUAUAUCUGUACGCUACAAUUAACCAUUGCCAACCAAAAAAAGAUUCUGAUCUAACCUAACGAUUCUGAGCAAUAUUUAGUUGAUAGUGUUGCUUUGUCAACAAUAUGUAUAUCAUAUUAUGGUAAAAUAAUUACAUAUGCAUUAUAUAUUUUCUUUAAUAAUAUUUGUUUAAUGUUGUACCUCUUUUUUCCGGUUUUGCCAUUUAUUAUGAAAACAGCUAGGAAAAUUAAAAAAUUAUCUGUCCAUUACCAUUUCAGUCAGAUUUCCUUCCUGAAAAAAAUGCUAUAAUUAAAAAUCCGAGUAAAAUUUCUGGUAUAAAAGUUGUUCACAGAUAAAAAAAAAAAACAUUGUAAAACCAAUACAUUCCUCAGAAUUUAAAAUGUAGUUUAGUGCUUUUUCAUCAAUCGCUUUCAAUUUGAAGGCUAGAUAAAUUAAGAGACGUGCUUAUACAUUUUGUAAAUAUCGCCCUGUUAGUCUAAAUUUUUUUUUACAAAUCUAACAUUUCAUUAAUAUGUCAAUAUUUUAUAUAAUAUUUAUUCAAAUAUGUAAUUUGAUUUUUAGCUCUAAUUAUUAGAUCAGUGAUUCUCAACCAAUAUUUCGCGACACACUAGUGUUGCACAAACUGGCUAUAAGUAUGUCGCGUACAUGCAUAUAGUAUUAUGUACCUUAUUAUUAUAAUGUUUAAUCAAAAUGUAUUGUUAUAAAAAAAAUGUGCUAUAAACAUAAAAACGUUGAGAACCAUUGCAUUAGAUAUUUGCAAACAAAAUCAUAUGUCCUAUUAUGAUUGACAGUCACGUCAAUUAUGAUUAAAAUUGUAUGUAAAUGAAUUUGCAUACACGUUAUUUUGUUUUGUUUUGUAGCAAAAUAAUAAUUCUUCCAUGGUAUCCUCACUUUCUAAAAAUCAUAUACCUGGUUUGGACCUAAUUACUAAUACUGAAUGCAAUACCAAAGGAUUUCUGAAUGUCUCAAAGAUUAUACCACAAAAUCAAACCGAACCGAUUCAAACACCUGACGACAAGCCAUUUAAUUUUCCCAAAAGCAAUACAACCUCUGCAAUUAUAAACCAACAACCAGUUAGUAUGCCUCUUAACAAUAUCCACCAAUCAACUACAUCCAUGUUUCAGAAUUCUUAUAGUUGGUCAAAGUUUAACAAUCCUGUAUCCUAUUAUGAUAAAAAUCCAGUGGAUGUGAAUGAUGCACCAUCAUCUAGAUUUGGUCAACAAAAUGAUAUUAAUGCUCGACCACCAUAUGAUGAAGAAAUAUCUAAUACUUCUUACAAUAGUUCUCAAAAUGCUACUAAUAAUAUGAACUAUAGAAGACCACUAGAAGGAUCAUAUAUUAAUAAACUGAUAAACGAAAGUAGUAGUACAAUGUACAAUAAGGGUCCAGAUGACCAACUUUAUAAUAGAAAUUUUAAUACACAAACUAGUAAUUUUCGAGGUUAUCAACCAAAUAUUUCCAAUAAUAAUAAUUUCAACAGAUCACCGGAAAACAUUCCAUAUCAACAUCAAAAACCAUUGAAUCUAACACAUUCGAAACCGCCUUCUUUGUUGAGUUUAAAUGUGGUUAAACCAAUUACACUAGGUAAGAAUUUAAAAUUACACUGUUUACAAAAUAUUUAUUUUUUAUAUUUCUGAACAUCAGAAUUUAUAAUAAAUUAUUAUUUAUUCUCAUAUAUUUUACCGACUGGUAUUAUUUUUGGUAUAUUAUUAUGAUUUUAUUUACCUGUUAGCAGAAAUUUUGACAAUUUAGAAAAUAAUAUCACUUUUGUAGUUUCUUGGGCAAUUACCCAAUAUAAUACUAAAGAACAUGGAGUUUACUUUGUGCAAAUAAUAUAGUAUUAUACUAAUUUACUAUUCUGUAUUAAUACAAAUACACGCCUUGUCCUAAUAUUAUCAAUCAUUAUUUUGUUACCGUAUUAUGUAUUGUCAAUUUUGCCAGUAACAUACCUACAACAUGACAUUUUAAAUUCCAUUAAUUUCAUAUUUUAGGUUCUGAUGGGAGCGAGGAAUAUAUAGGUUUUAUAGUGAUGUUUAUUUUAUUUUUGUAUUUUUUUCUGUGAAUAACUUAUCUACCAACAAUUUUAAGGGAGAUCAUUUUUUGAUUUUCCUAGGAGUUUUCAUAAUAAAUAGGAAAUACGGGAAAAUAUACAAAAUGUAUUAUUUUUAAAUUGUAAACUUUACAGCCUUUUAAAACAUCUAUAACCAAACUUCGCUCAGAAUUGUUUUUCGUAAACAAAUAUUAAUUAUUGCGUACAGAUAUAAAUUAAAUUCCCCUCAAUAUCCUACCUUCCCAACUUCUCACCUACAACAGUGACCCUCUCAUUGUAUGAAGAAUAUCCGUCAUUUUAAAUAUAAUUAUAUACAUUUACUUUUUAUUGUUUUAGAUAAACCUGGAAAUUACUUGGAAAAUAAGAACGAUUUACCAAAUAGGUAAUAAUUUUUAAUAGAUGUUUAAUAUGAGUUGGCGAUUAUUUGUAUUUUUCUAAAUUAUUAGGUAUGAAAGAAAUUGGAAUAUUGCUGAUGAUGAAGAAGAUCCGGAAAAUGAAUACAUGGAAGCACAUAAAAAAUUUAGUUCUGAACCAUUUGAUGAUCAAUAUGAUGAUCAAUUUUCAAACCAACAGCAUAGAAAUUCAUAUUAUGAUAAUGAUAAUUAUUCUAGAGGACAUCAGGGGCCUAGAGACUACAAUGAUGACUAUCCUAGAUCUUUGAAUCAAUCAAGUGGACCUCAAAUACCGAAGAAUAUGGACAUUGAAUACCCUAGACCGAAUUCUCAAUUCUCUAGAAAUGUUAACCAAAGUUACCCUCACGAUUUGCAAACACCAAAAAAGAAAGACAGUGAUUAUUAUAAAUCUACAAAUAAUAUUAAAAGUAUAGAUCAAGGAUUUUCCAGGGAAGUGCCUAAUUUAAGAGAUGUCAAUGGUGAGUAUUCUAAUGAAUCCACUGUUGAUAAAAACAAAUUUAUUUCACCAAAAGGGAACUAUGGACUUCCUCCAAGAAGAAAUUAUGAACCGUCUAGAAGUAAUUUUGGUAAUAAUUUAAAUAAGACAAAUAUAGAAUGGGAUAAUAAAGACUAUACACAAAAUGAGGCACCUCAACAGUCUGUAAAAGAUAUCAUAAUUCCACCUCUUGUUCAACAGCCAGCAAUUGAUUGCACACCAAUUGAUCCAGUAAAAAUAUUUGAUUAUCGUCAUUUACCCACAUUAAAAGUAAUUCCAGGUAAUAUUACAUUUGAAUUUUAUGAAAAAAUAAUUACUGUAAACUCUAAUUAUUUAAUAAUAACUUAGUAUUUAUAUUUAGGAAUAUCAAAAGAAACUGUGAUCCCAAUUAGAGUUUAUGAUUAUAAACAUGGAGGUAAACGUAUACUACCAUGGCAAGAUAGAGGUUUGUAUUAGAUUUUUAAUUCGCAGUAGGGCUGUUUAAAAUUAUUGUAAUAUGAGUAACAAUAUCCCUUGUGAUAAAAAAAAUUAUAAUUGUUUAAACUGACUAAGGAUCUAUAUUUUACUCAGGACCACAAUUUUGCUCAGUUUAACCUAGAUCAGGGAUCCACAACUAGAUGGGAGAAAUCUGAUGUGCACUUUGACAUCAUAGGCCAAAAUUGCUUAGGAAAACGUAGAUAGAUAAUUAGAUUUGGUUUUUCACUAUUAUUAGUUUUUGAGAACAAUACCUAAAUUAAACACCCUUCUAUUAUAUACUUUUUUCGUAAAAUUCAAUUUAAAACUAAUUUACUUUUAAAUUGUCAGUUAGUUUGGCCAUAAGAUGGAGACCCUUAAUCUAGGCAUGUCACUUCUGUAUUAUUAUUAUUAUUAUUAUUUGUUUUUAUAACAAUACUAUAGUGAACAAAAGUCAUUACAUUUAUUGUAAAUUAAAAAGAUUGGUGACAAUAUUCCAAAUUUGUUCAUAUUUUAUAACCACCUUAUGAUAUUACCACAAUUAUAACGAAUCGUUCGAUUUUCGAAAUGAAAAUUAUUUACUACUACUUCUGUGCAGUCACCAAUAUGAUUUUCUGUAGUAAAACAGAGCAACCUUGUUACAAAGAAGAAAAAUUCUCUGUCAUAAAUUCAUAAGUAAAAGGCAAAUUAUUUCAAAUACAUUUUUUAUAAAUUCUAUCAAUAUUUUAGAUUCUAGACUGGGUUUUAGGUUUAAAUUGAUUAAAAUAUACAGUUACUAAUUCCCUUAAAUUAAAAUGACAAAUGGUUUUAUUCAAAAUAAUAAAUUUGCUUUCGGUUAAUUAUAUGUACAGAUUGUUUCACAAAGAUUGUAAAAACUUUUAUUCUGUUCAAUAGUUUAACGAUUUUUCUUUUUUGUAUUAACUGACUAGAAUAUUUUUUUUUUUUUAAAAAAACACUUAAGAUAAAUUUAAACAUUUAUACUAAAAAAAUUGUUGAUUUAAGAAAUGUUUAUUGAUAAUGAGUUACAUUUUUUCCAUUUCAACUACCAAAUAAUUUCAUAUUUAAUGUUAAUGUAUAACUAUAAUAAAAUCCAAUUAUGAACCAAUGCAAUAACAAUAAUAGGUAAAGGUAAUAAAGAUGUAAUGUAGAAAAAUUAUUUUGGGUAAUUAGAUCUGGGCUAUUAUAAAGAAUGUAAUACCUCUUUAUUGAAUAUUUUUAAGUUUUUUUUUUUUUAAUGUUUAGAAAAACCUAACCUUUGAAAACUUCAACAAUUUUUAAAAAACUAAACGACUCAUCAUUAGUUAACAUUUGUAACAGUUAGACUUCUAACUCACUAGGCAGUCUGGCUGCAUCAGCCAUCCAUGGCCACUGAUAAGCAAUGGUUGAGUAUGCAAUAUGUGACUUGUAAUAAUUAGCCAGUUAGCUGCUGUGCAUUCGUGUACGUUCUGUUUGCUGCUACACCCACAAAUUAAUGGCUAUCUAGUGUGCAAGCUACAAUUAACCGCCAAAUGUCACAUUAGCUGUGUCAGCCAAGUUGCCUAGUGGUUUAGAAGCCUGCAAUUUUUUAAAAUAAAUGUAUUAAUUAACUAUUAUAUUUUGUAUAAAAAAGAAAUUAAAAAUAUUAAACAGAAUACAAGUUAGUGCAUUUGUUACAGUGAUAAUUGAUAUACUUAAAAUAAAAAAUAAUAUUUAAAUGAGUAGCCUGGUCACAAGAACCACUCUUUUAGGUUAGGACACCAUUUGAAAUGGGAUAAAUCAUUUGAAUAACCAUAUAAUAUAUCUAGGUUUGUUAAUUUAUACACAAAUUUCAGGUUUUAGUCGAAGAAAUUCAAAUCAUCCAAGAGAUUUAAAUGAAGAAGGUAAAUAAUUAUAACUAAAUGACAUUUAUAUACAAUGUGUAUUAUAUUUUAUAUAUGAGUUUAUUAUAUUUAAAAUGUAAAUGACUAUUAAAUUUAAUAAUAUUAUUUUCAAUUUUAAAUUGAAAUUAUGUAUAAUAAUAAUAUUUUUAAUUUUUUUUAAGACAACAUUAAUGAUCAAGAUAAAAAUAAAGAAACAUCAACUAAGAAGCCAACAUCAUUUGGGUCACAAGGUAGUUUAUUUUAAAUUAAAGUUGAGAAUAAAUAAAUUAUCAAGCAUAUAAUUAUUAUAUAAUAUUUAGAUAAUUCAUCAGACAUUAAAGAUUUUGAUUUUAAAAAUAAAGCCAAAGAAACUAAAAUGAUUGAAGAAACUACUAUUUUCGAAAUUAAAGAUGACAAAUUUAAAGAAGAUACAUCUAUUCCAGUAGACACUAUUACUAUUAUUGACGAUGAUGAUGUUGAAGAGGAGGAUGUGAUGAUUAUUGAUAAUUUAGAAAAAAGAGAAUUACUACAGUCUGGCAACAAAACAAAUAAUUCCCAUGUCCAUGUGCCAUCUCCACCUAAAAUGUUGCACAAUAUGGAAGUCGAAAAAUCACCUGCUAGAAAAUUGUUAUCUAUUGAUACAUUACUAAGUCCACCUGGUCGGCUUAAUAGACCGGCCAAAAUAGUUAUAAUAAUGAGAGGAUUACCUGGUUCAGGAAAAUCCUACGUUGCGAAGUUAAUCAAAGUUAGUAUAAUAUUAUACAUUUGUAUAUUAUAUUAUAUCAGUGCUUGAAUGAAUAUUGGUAAAAGUAACAAAUAUGUAUGUAUAAUAAGUGUAUGUUUCUGUAGACUUAUUUGAAUUAUUUAAACAAACUAGAUGAGAUAUGAAAUAGUUAAGAAAAAAAGGUAUUCAGUCUUCUCGCAUCUGUCAAUUCAAGUACUGAUUAAUAUUACAUUUUAUUGAGUUAUCUACAUUGUAAUAAAUUUCAUUAGGAGAAAGAAGUAGCAAUGGGUGGACAAGCUCCUAGAGUAUUAUCAUUAGAUGAUUAUUUUAUGACAGAAAUAACUAAGACUGAAAUUAAUCCUGAGACCAAUAAAACAGUGGAAAAAAAGGUAAUAUUGUUUAUAUUGUUAUUCUUGUUUAAACCCAUUAAUAUCUAAAAAAUAUUUAAUUUUCUUACAUUAUCUUACAGGCUAAUUAAAACAUGAAAUGUGGUUGUUAGGUCAAAUACACAUACAUGUUAAAAUUAAAUCAAAAUAAUGUAAUAUUUUUAAUUUUAAUAAUUUAUUUUUAUCUCAGUAAUAUUGUGAUAAAAUGGUUUUACAAUACAUAUUUUUAUAUCACUUGAAAGAUUGGGGUUUCCAUUGCAUUGCGACCCUAACUGUUUUGAUGUUUCCUUGUCAUUAUGUAAUUAUAGUGUCCUUUAUACUUUAACAAAGUCUGUUACUGGUGUAGGUUUUACCAAUAUUUUACUAAUUUUUUUUCUAUCUCGUUUGCCGAUUUCCCAUUGCUUUAUCUAUAGUAGUAGAUCCACAUAUUUUCCUCUAUGCUGUGUUCUCAAAAUGUAUCAAUCUUAAUUCUACUGUUUGGUUAUUGUUUAAGUGUCACGUCUAUGAAUGAAAGUUGUUUCUACUUUGUUUAUAGUUGUCCUAGAUUAGCGGGCAUAGGAUUAAGGAUCAUAAGGGCACCAGAUACACACACCAACAUAAUAUAGCAACCAAACAAACUCUCAUAUAUUUUAACAAUAAAUAAAUACAAUAACAAUUAUAAGUAUCUUAUUGAAACUAUCAAUGAGACCAGUGAUUUUCAACCUGGGGGUUAUGACCGACUAAGGGGUUGCGAAAAAUUAUGGUAUCAUGUAUACCAGCGUUUCCCAACCUUUUUCCCUCGCGGCACACUAAUCCCAACCCAUAUUUAGCCGCGGCACACUUGUCACUUAGUUAUUUAUGUAUACAAAUUUUUUUAUACUAGACUUUCAUCAUAUUAAUUAUUAAUACCAAAAUAGUUGUAUAUCAGUAUAAUAUUUCUAGCAAACAUUUUAAAAUGGUAGGAUAGAAAAAAAUAUUAUUACAAUUAUCCUAAAUAUUUAAUUUAUUGAAAUGGAAAAACAAGAUACAUUACAAUUUUUAUAAAAAACCUAAUCUUAGUGAGAAAUUUGGGACUGUUUUCUCUUCAUUAUUAGGUUCCUUCGUGGUCGAAUGGUUGAUAAGCACACCCUCAUGUCGUCUUCCAAGUUCUUCAGUUUUGAUGGCAUUCAUUGAAGAGAAUGCUCACUAUUCAUAGCAGAACACAUUGAUUAAAUAAUCUUGAUUUCAAAGGUUUACUUUUAAUGAAGUUUACCAUUUUGACAACAGUUUGCAAUACUUCAUUGAGCUCAGGCAUCAAAGAUUUAGCAACGAGAGCUUCUCUAUAUAUGAAGCAGUGAGUGAAAAUAAUAUCCAGGUUUUCUUUCUUAACUAAUGCCAAAAAACCUGUUAAAUGACCAAUCAUUGAAGGGCACCCAUCUGUACAAACACUCAAACAAAAUUUCCAUGAUAUAUUGGCAGUGGUAAAAUAAUUGUUAACCAAAUUAAAAAUAUCUUGUCCUUUUGUAGUUUCAGGAAGGUCUUUACAAAAUAAAAAUUGUUCUAUCAACUCAUUAUCGCAUAUAAAUUUUACGAAUGUCAUGACCUGAGGUUUUCCGGUUACAUCUGUAGACUCAUCUAAUUGAAGGGCAAACAAUUCAGCUGCUUUCAGUUUUUCAUUCACGNUCACCAAACAAAAUUUUAAAGAUUUCACAGCAUGCUGGUAAAAUGGUUGACUCGGCUGUUGUGUGAGAUUUCAUUUUUUUUGCUAUCAGUUCCACGACAGCAUAGCUAGCUUCCUGUGCCUUAUCUGAUACAGUUGAGUGUUUUAUAAACUUUAAAGCCUGUCUGUUUUGAUCUGAGGCUAACCUUUUGAAAAAAUCUAGAGGCUUUUCAGACGCAAAACCAUGUUUUGUAAGCAGGUGCCUUUUCAGCUUACUUGGUACAAUACUUUCAUUAGAUAAUUUUUCAAUACACAUGAGGCAUUGAGGUAUACUAGGUAUAGGCAUUUCUCCACCACUCGACGUGAAAUCAAAUGAUAAAAAGCUUUCGUGAUAUUGUCGAAUAUAAUUUUUUGAUCGUACGUUAGCAUUUUUACUCGCACUCACCUCAACAUUAGGAGGAUUGAAACUAGGACCAGGCAAUUCCUCAACAUCAACUCUAUGAGCACUAUUAGGAUCAGGCAAUUCUUCGCUUAAUUUACGUUUCCUAAUUAAAAAAUGAUCCAUCGUGCGCUACACGUAGUACGAAUGAUAAUCGUAAAGCGAAAAGAAAAAAUUUCCGUUAAAGUAUAACACGGUAAUAAUAAAUGUACUUCAUACGACGACAAACGACUAACUGACAUUUUAACAUUUUAAAUGAAUUAAUAAGAAAUAGUGAACAAUAAGAUAAGAUUCUCCCCGAUAAGAGAAUCGUUAAAACUAUUUUAACCAAUUACUGAAAUUUUACGGAAACUUUUAUUAAUAGUCAUGGCAUUUCGCGGCACACCGGUUGGGAAACCCUGAUGUAUACUGUACAUUAUAUUAUUCAAAUUCUGUUAAACAGUUUUUGAAGAGAUUAUCAAAGAUGUAAACAAAAAAAUUUGGGAUUCGUAAAAGUUUGAAAACUACUAGACUAGGCGUUAAUAUCUAAAUAUUCGAUUGUUUGGUUUUAAACCAGUCUAAAAGUAAAAACUUAUAGAUCUUGCUCAUCACUACUAUCAAGGUCAUGGGGUACUUGAGUCUGCAUCUGAUAUUCUGAUUCUUCAGCUUUCCUGUUCAGCAGUUUAUGCACCAGCCAACAUGGUACACUUGCAUGAAUUUGUGCACUGCUUCCCUCAUACUAUGCCAGAAGAAACACUACUUUAUUAUUGUACUUUACCUACUCUUGAUGGUUUCUUCAUGGUUGUGAAAUCUCCAUACUGAAGAGUUUACUUAUUUUCUCCAGUAUAUUCAGAUCAUUCUAUUGAUUGAAACCUUCAUAUAUCUGCCCGAAAAUGCAUUCUGUUGUCCUUGAAUGUCCUUGUAUAGAUAUGAUCCAAAACAAUUGUGGCCUUACAGUGCCAGAGUUAAAUGUUGGCUCCCCAGUUCAUAGCUUCAUCGAAAUAUUACUUAGUACUGUAUAAAUCUAAAUUUCUUACAGUGAACCACUUUAAUAUGUAAUCAUAUAAUGUCAUACAAUAUUAUAUAAAUUGUCUUGUCUAUAUAAUCAUUAAAUAAUAUUUUGUUUUACUUAGCAUUUUUAUUUAAAUAAAUGUAAUACUAUUAAAAAAUUUAAAGAUAAAAUAUUUGAUACCGAGGAAGAAGGACAUAGGUUAAUUUUAUACAGUUUUAAAUACAAGCAAAUUAAAUUUAAAGUAUAUACACUUAUGCUACUUAACCAAAAAAAAUUACAGAGGAAAAAUUGUCUGAAGUCCUUUUGCCCUAAAAAUGUAUUUAUUUUUUUUUUUCGUAACAUUAUUUUGUGUACUUUAUUGUUUAAGGUUAUGGAAUAUGAAUAUGAUUCUGCUAAUGAAAGUUUAUACCGUACAUCCUUUAUAAAAGCAUUUAAGAAAAAAGUGGUCGAAAAUUUUUUUUCAUUUUUUAUUAUUGAUGCUAUAAAUAAUAAAGUUACAUAUUAUAAAGAUAUACUUGAUAUUUCUAGAAUCAAUGGAUUUACUGUAAGUGUUAUUGAGUCUUUGUGCUAUAUUGUAUGUUUAAAUAUCUUGAUAUAUAUA
rnacentral:lncRNA from 1 species